GGUUUCGUGGCCGAGUGGCUAGGCAGAGCUCUGCAAAAGCUUCUACAGCAGUUCGAAUCUGCUCGAAACCU
rnacentral:tRNA from 1 species